rnacentral:rRNA from 1 species
CCUGGCGGCGAUAGCGCGGUGGUCCCACCUGACCCCAUGCCGAACUCAGAAGUGAAACGCCGUAGCGCCAAUGGUAGUGUGGGGCUUCCCCAUGUGAGAGUAGGGAACUGCCAGGU